UUUCAUGACGACCGAUAAAAAACGACAGUGUUACCCCUUGAGUUUAUUUUCAUGACGACCAAUCAAAAACAACAGUGUUACCCCUUAUGGUUUUUUUCAUGACGACCAAAGAUAAAUGACAGUGUCACCCCUCAUGGUUCAUUUGAUAAAAACGACAGUGUUACCCCUUAUGUUUUUUUCAUGACGACCGAUAAAAAACAACAGUGUUACCCAUUAUGUUUCAUUUGAUAAAAACGACAGCGUUACCCCUCAUGUUUCAUUUGAUUAAAACGACAGUGUUACCCCUUGUGUUUUUUUCAUGACGACGAAAGAAAAACCACAGUGUUACCCCCUAUGUUUUUUUUCAUGACGACCAAUAAAAAAAAAAGUUGUCAUAGAUCGCUAACUAGCAGAGAGUUGUAAGCACUUUCCACCCUUUUCAGUGGAGGAAUUGGACUCCCCAAGCAAUGUUAUACUUAAAAGGAGCAA